rnacentral:rRNA from 1 species
AYYUKUGGYGGUUGCCAACAGGUUUUGMGGGGGAAAUACCCCCCCCAACACCKGGGGUGAUGGGCCACAUUUUUUUCCGMGAAAAUGACUCCCCCAGCAKCUUGUGAGAUGGCCCAGAUCGUUUACCGUGAAAAAAUUAGAGUGUUCAAAGCGGGCAGAUACUUUUUCCUGCCACCGAAUACAUUAGCAUGGGAUAAUGGAAUAGGACCCUGACCUCCUAUUUUCAGUUGGUUUUGUACUUACAGCGAGGUUCAUAUCAGGGUAAUGAUUAAUAGGGAUAGUUGGGGGCAUUAAUAUUUAAUUGUCAGAGGUGAAAUUCUUGGAUUUAUGAAAGAUUAACUUCUGCGAAAGCGUUUGCCAAGGAUGUUUUCAUUAAUCAAGAACGAAAGUUAGGGGAUCGAAGACGAUCAGAUACCGUCGUAGUCUUAACCCUUAACGAUGCCCCCCAGYGWUUAGGAGACGWUGAAUCCCCAACACCGCUAUUGAUCCGCCAGAGCUAAUCCGUUAU